CAAGUCGAGCGGGGAAAGGUAGCUUGCUACCUUACCUAGCGGCGGACGGGUGAGUAAUGCUUAGGAAUCUGCCUAUUANUGGGGGACAACAUUCCGAAAGGAAUGCUAAUACCGCAUACGCCCUACGGGGGAAAGCAGGGGAUCUUCGGACCUUGCGCUAAUAGAUGAGCCUAAGUCAGAUUAGCUAGUUGGUGGGGUAAAGGCCUACCAAGGCGACGAUCUGUAGCGGGUCUGAGAGGAUGAUCCGCCACACUGGGACUGAGACACGGCCCAGACUCCUACGGGAGGCAGCAGUGGGGAAUAUUGGACAAUGGGCGAAAGCCUGAUCCAGCCAUGCCGCGUGUGUGAAGAAGGCCUUUUGGUUGUAAAGCACUUUAAGCGAGGAGGAGGCUACUUGGAUUAAUACUCUAGGAUAGUGGACGUUACUCGCAGAAUAAGCACCGGCUAACUCUGUGCCAGCAGCCGCGGUAAUACAGAGGGUGCGAGCGUUAAUCGGAUUUACUGGGCGUAAAGCGUGCGUAGGCGGCUUUUUAAGUCGGAUGUGAAAUCCCUGAGCUUAACUUAGGAAUUGCAUUCGAUACUGGGAAGCUAGAGUAUGGGAGAGGAUGGUAGAAUUCCAGGUGUAGCGGUGAAAUGCGUAGAGAUCUGGAGGAAUACCGAUGGCGAAAGCAGCCAUCUGGCCUAAUACUGACGCUGAGGUACGAAAGCAUGGGGAGCAAACAGGAUUAAAUACCCUGGUAGUCCAUGCCGUAAACGAUGUCUACUAACCGUUGGGGCCUUU
rnacentral:rRNA from 1 species